rnacentral:rRNA from 1 species
CGAAGGGGCGUAGCGUUGUUCGGAUUUACUGGGCGUAAAGGGUACGCAGGCGGCAUGUCAAGUUGGGGGUGGAAAUCCCGGGGCGUCAACCCCGGAACUGCCUCCAAAACUAGGCAAGCUAGAGAUCGAGAGAGGUGAGUGGAAUUCCUAGUGUAGAGGUGAAAUUCGUAGAUAUUAGGAGGAACACCGGUGGCGAAGGCGGCUCACUGGCUCGAUACUGACGCUCAUGUACGAAAGCGUGGGGAGCAAACAGGAUU